rnacentral:hammerhead_ribozyme from 1 species
AUUGGGCCGACGAGUCCCAAACGGAACGAAACGCGUGUCCUGGAU